AUUCGGAUAGCUGGGUCAUAUGGUAGUUCCAUUCCUAGUUUUCUAAGGAAUCUUUACGCUGCUUUCCAGAGCAGAUGUACCAAUUUGCAGUCCUACCAACAAU
rnacentral:pre_miRNA from 1 species